rnacentral:tRNA from 1 species
GGCAGGAUGGCCGAGUUGGUUAUGGCGCCAGGUUAAGGUCACCUUAAUAAGGUUGUAUACUGAAGGACACAGCUUAAUCUCCUGGUUCGGGAAACUGAGCGUGGGUUCAAGUCCCACUCCUGUCA